AAGAUGGCGAGGUAUACAGACGAACAGAUGAACAUGGUUACAGACACAAACAUCGGCCAUCCCUGCAGCAGUGGCACCGAGACGUUCGUCGAUGCUAUUAAUAUCCAUACCAACCCUCCAAAGACCUACAGAAAGACAGCAGGUGCAUGCAACAGGUGGAUUACCGAAUUCAAAUAUUUUACUUGACACAACAACUGAAAACAAAGAAUCCCUUGUGAAGGACAAAUCACGAUAAGGACGUGUAACCGAAAGCAAACAACUUAAACAAACACUUACAAUCUCCAAACAAAUCAAAGCUCCGGAGUAAGUCCUCAGUAUUCCCAGACCGCGCGGCAGUGAGACGGUUGGCGCUGGGAAGGAGGUCGCGGCUGCGGCUGGGUUUGCUGCUGCUUCCGCCAUCCUCCUCUCUCACA